rnacentral:lncRNA from 1 species
GAGGGGUUGUACAUGACUUUCCCCUUGGAAUGCAGUUAGCAAACUGGUGAGCCCAGAUGCAUGAUUUCAAACUGUAGAGAGGUGUGUCGCGCAGUGGGCGGCUCUGCUCAGUUGCCUUCCUCCUGGCCUUUGCCUCUCUCAUCUGUGAGCUCAGCAAAGCUCCCAGCCUUGACAGCCGCAGCCUCCUCAAGAUUCCCAGAAGCCUCCGCGUCGACCCUGGAACGUUUGAACCUGCGGUCGGGAUACUGGCUGUUGUCAAAAGGCAUUCGAUGGACGCAGAGGACGUGGGUCUUCAGGUUCCCCUUCUGCGAGGCACUGUAGGGACAGUAGUGACACUGGAAAGGCCUGUGACCUGUGGGGAAAGAAAGUGUCCAGUCAGCAGGGUGUCAUAUCUCAGUCACCACCCCUAUCCUGAGCUUUAAGACCAACACACCACCACCACCACUACCACCAACACCACCACCACCACCACCACCACCACCACCACCGUCUAUGACAUCACAGCCACUUAGCAGACUUAAAGGAGAAGGGGAAGGGAAGCAGCCCGUUAGACACAUUGAGUGAGAUUCAGACUCCCCUCCCAUUCUGACCAGAAUUUUUAGUCUUGACUUUCCAGAAGAGAGAACAGAAACCAUUCAAUAUCUAGAACCAUUUCAAGAAAACUAGAUAUUUACAGAACAAGAAACGAGGCAAACUAUUCCAUUUUUCACAUUUAUUUCUUGUGAGUGUGUAUAUACACAUACACACACCUGUGCCCUUAGACUUAUGCACACAUGUCACAGAUGUUAUACAUCCUGAACUCUUUAUUAAUGUCAGACCAAGCAUGAGGAGUAAAUGUGUCUGGAGGGUAAGGGAGACAGAUGCUGAAUAGCCCUGCUCUAAGCAACACUGUAAGGAAUGACUGUACUGCACAGCUUUAGAAGUUAGGAGAGUCAGAGUGGACAGAGGGACCACACGGAUCAGAAACAGUUGUGGUAUGCAACAGAUCUUGUCUGUCCUGUGAGCCUGGGAGCCUCUGAAGUAUCCAUACACUGCCACCUUCCAGCCUGUGCCACCCAGAAUGCACACCAUGUGGAGAAGAUCAAUCUGUGUGCUGCUGAGCAAGAACGCAGAGAACCAGCAGCAGGACUGGCCCACCAGCGUGAUGAUUGCCGCCUGUGUUUCUGCCACCUAGUUCUACCCUCGGGGCUUGGCCACCUUCCCAUAAAAACAGAGAAGGCCCUGAGUGGGAGAUAGACAAAGAUGAUGGACGAUUAUUCUGGCAGAUUCGGAUACUUCCGUGGUCGAAUCAUUAUUGGAUUGGUUUGCUUUUUGAACGUCGUCGGUGAAAUGGAAUCUGUGUGCGAAUGCAUCAGGAGCUCUGGAUGCAUUCACUGGAGGGGGUAAUCUGAGUAGUACUAGAAUUUCAAGAAGUCUGGGUCGUUCUACAGCCUUAGUUGAACUCCAUGGAAGUUUUGUCAAGAAGUCAUAUCGCCUCCACUGUACACAUGGGGAAGUUAAGACCCAGCCAAUCUGAAAGAUCUGCAUUCAGACCAAGCUUCCAAUGCACACAGUGUACUCUGAAUCUUUAAUUCCCCAAAUGUGCACAGGGACUUCCCUAGUUAGUUUCAGCUGUUGACUUCAUGCAAACUAGAGUCACUCAGGAAGAAGCCAUCACAAGUGAGACAUUGCCUUCAUCGGACUGCCUUGGAUGUAGCAGGUCACGCCCUGCUGAGGGUGGUGCCAUUACCUAGGCAAGUAGUUAGGUCUGAGCUACACUACAUAAGGAAGCUAGCUGAGCCAGCCAAAGGGGAAGGAAAACAGCAGGAAUCCAAAAAAGCCAUGCAAUACCAAAACAAGAAUCAAGGUUAAGUGUAAAUUUUAGCACACGGUGGUGAGAUCCUUGAUUCUCAAAUGAAAGGUGUUCAAGACAUUUUUACACACCCUACCAAUUUCUGAAUCAAGGCAAAUCCCAGUUUCUGUCUCCCAUCAGCCUAUUUGAGGCCCCUUAUAUGGAACUGCCUUGUGUAUGUUGAUGUCCGCUGUCUUUUGAUGAGAGAAUGACAGCAAUGGGUUUCAAAUAAGCCACAGUAAAGAACACCACAGAAUACAUCACUCUGCACAUCCAGGUCUCACACUUGGACAACAGAAGGGGCUGAGAGGCACCACUCCGCUUAGGAGCCUUCUAAUCCUGUCUCUGAGGUAGAUAGAGACAGAGCAAAAACUUCACAUACAAAUGGGGCACAUUAUGGACGGGGAUGAAGCUGGUUCAGGCAUCAGGGGGACAGGGCUGUCCCUCAGUUGCCUACAAACUUCCAUCUAUCCAUAGUGUGAUGAAAGAUUGGCCAAGGUACCCAACCAUACUGUAGGAGACCACACAUGAGCUGGUGACAGGUGUUCAUGAGUUGCAGAUAAUGACUACCGAUCUCUUUAAAGCACAGUUGGGUCCAACAGUUUUAAGCCUAAGAAGGGUCUGACCCAUUAGUUCCCACUGGACAGACCAAUCAAGGUGGUGGCAGUGAGCAGCAGCACCC